rnacentral:rRNA from 1 species
CCUACGGGUGGCAGCAGUGAGGAAUAUUGGUCAAUGGGCGCAAGCCUGAACCAGCCAAGUCGCGUGAGGGAUGACGGUCCUAUGGAUUGUAAACCUCUUUUGUCGGGGAGCAAGGCCCGCCACGUGUGGCGGGAAGGAGAGUACCCGAAGAAAAAGCAUCGGCUAACUCCGUGCCAGCAGCCGCGGUAAUACGGAGGAUGCGAGCGUUAUCCGGAUUUAUUGGGUUUAAAGGGUGCGCAGGCGGAGGUGCAAGUCAGCGGUCAAAUUGCGGGGCUCAACCCCGUACUGCCGUUGAAACUGCAUCCCUUGAGUGCGCGAGAAGUAUGCGGAAUGCGUGGUGUAGCGGUGAAAUGCAUAGAUAUCACGCAGAACUCCGAUUGCGAAGGCAGCAUACCGGCGCGCAACUGACGCUCAUGCACGAAAGCGUGGGUAUCGAACAGGAUUAGAUACCCGGGUAGUC